rnacentral:rRNA from 1 species
AUUGAACGCUGGCGGCGUGCCUAACACAUGCAAGUCGAGCGGUAACAGGUGUAGCAAUACAUGCUGACGAGCGGCGAACGGGUGAGUAAUGCUUCGGAAUCUGCCCAUGUAGUGGGGAAUAACCAGCCGAAAGGUUGGCUAAUACCGCAUACGACCUACGGGUGAAAGCAGGGGAUCGCAAGACCUUGCGCUAUUGGAUGAGCCGAAGUCGGAUAGCUAGUUGGUAGGGUAACGGCCUACCAAGGCGACGAUCCGUAGCUGGUCUGAGAGGACGACCAGCCACACUGGGACUGAGACACGGCCCAGACUCCUACGGGAGGCAGCAGUGGGGAAUAUUGCGCAAUGGGCGGAAGCCUGACGCAGCGACGCCGCGUGGGGGAUGACGGCCUGGU